GAAAUCCUCAGAUACCAGCCCAAACCCCUAAUCAGUAACUCACUCUCACUAACUCUCAAGAACAGCUAAGGAACUUUCAUUGAACUGCCCUCCUGAUGAAUAGGGCUUCUCUGGUGGCUCAGACAGUAAAGAAUCUGCCUGCAACGUGGAAGACCUGGGUUGGGAAGAUUCCCCUGGAGAAGGGAGUGGCUACCUACUCCAGUGUUCUUCCCUGGGGAAUUUCAAGGACAAGAGGAGCCUGGCAGGCUAUAGUCCAUGCGGUCGUAAAGAGACAGACACAACUGAGCAAAGAAGUUAAGGACAUGAAGCCGGAUUAUGUGGUGAUGAACAUGGUGUUGAAUCUGGCAGCUGCACCUCACCAAACAUGACAUGGCAGAGUUGAAAGGAAUGUUUUCAGCCUGUGCACACAGCAUAGCUGAACGUCAGAGCUGUUGAUGAAGUGUGGAGUUAUCUUACUGACUCUUGGAGACCAGAAGGUUUUGGGUGGCCAAGGAAAUCUUCAAAAUCAUCAUCUUGUAUCAAGACCAUCACCUUCAAACACUGUAGAAUCCAAGGGACUCCAGGCCAUGGCUGUUUUGUUCAACUUUGAUCCAGUGCCUAACCAGACCAGACACAAAACUGACCUUCAAGAGAUGAAAGGUAGCCACGUGGAAACUCAUUACUUCAGGGAGAAAAAGGGGCUGGAGAGGACUGCUGGGGACCUUGAUGAAGCUGCUUGGGCAAAGAAGCCCUUCUAAUUAAACCAGAUGCCUGACUGAAUUGCCACAGUCAA
ensembl:lncRNA